AAUCAACGCUGGCGGCGUGCCUCAGACAUGCAAGUCGAACGCGAAAGUUUCCUUCGGGAAACAAGUAGAGUGGCGCACGGGUGAGUAACACGUAGGUAAUCUACCUUCGGAUGGGGAAUAAUAAUCGGAAACGGUUGCUAAUACCGCAUAAUGCAGCGGCACCUAAUGGUGACAGUUGUUAAAGCGGGGGAUCGAAAGACCUCGCGUCUGAAGAGGAGCCUGCGGCGGAUAGCUAGUUGGUAAGGUAAUGGCUUACCAAGGCUACGAUCCGUAACCGGCCUGAGAGGGCGGUCGGUCACACUGACACUGACAUACGGGUCAGACUCCUACGGGAGGCAGCAGUCGGGAAUUUUGGGCAAUGGGCGAAAGCCUGACCCAGCAACGCCGCGU
rnacentral:rRNA from 1 species